CACAAGUCAUAUUAUAUUUGUUGUACAACAGUUUAGCCGUUUAGCGAUUAUGUCUUUUGGCAAUUCGCAAUAUUUAAUCCGUUUGUAUCGAAAACUAUACGGAAUCAACUUGAGCGCUUCUUGAGCCCCGGGACCGAAGAUAUAUAGACACGAAUCGAAAAUCGUCGAGAAACAACAAUACCGUCCAAUAUAACGAAUUUAUGUCAAUUAAUUUAUCGUUCUUGUU